rnacentral:rRNA from 1 species
UUGACGGGCCCGCACAAGCGGUGGAGCAUGUGGUUCAAUUCGAUGCAACCGAAGAACUUACCUGGGUUUGACAUAUAGGUUGUAGGGAACUGAAAAGGGACCGACCCUUCGGGGAGCCUAUACAGGUGUUGCAUGGCUGUCGUCAGCUCGUGUCGUGAGAUGUUCGGUUAAGUCCGCUAACGAGCGCAACCCUCGUCGUAUGUUAUAUGUGUCAUACGAGACUGCCGGUAAAAGCCGGAGGAAGGUGAGGAUGAUGUCAAGUCAGCAUGACCUUUAUAUCCAGGGCUACACACACGCUACAAUGGUCUGUACAAUGGGUAGCCAAGCCGCGAGGCGGAGCCAAUCCUGAAAGCAGGCCUCAGUUCAGAUUGCAGUCUGCAACUCGACUGCAUGAAGCCGGAGUUGCUAGUAACCGCAGGUCAGCAAUACUGCGGUGAAUACGUUCCCGGGUCUU